rnacentral:rRNA from 1 species
CUACGGGGCGCUCCAGUGGGGAAUAUUGCACAAUGGGCGCAAGCCUGAUGCAGCGACGCCGCGUGAGCGAAGAAGGUCUUCGGAUCGUAAAGCUCUGUCCUUGAUGACGAACAAAUGACGGUAAUCAAGGAGGAAGCCCCGGCUAACUACGUGCCAGCAGCCGCGGUAAUACGUAGGGGGCGAGCGUUGUCCGGAAUCACUGGGCGUAAAGGGUGAGUAGGCGGUAAUGUGUGUCAGAUGUCAAAGGCAUGGGCUUAACCCGUGUAAGCAUUUGAAACUGCAUUACUUGAGUACAGGAGAGGUGAGUGGAAUUCCUAGUGUAGCGGUGAAAUGCGUAGAUAUUAGGAGGAACACCAGUGGCGAAGGCGACUCACUGGACUGUAACUGACGCUGAGUCACGAAAGCGUGGGGAGCGAACAGGAUUAGAUACCCCGGUAGUC